CCGAGGGCACCGCCGCGGGCGGGAGCUGCGGGCGAGGGGCGGCUCUGAGAGAACGGGAAGGCCCCGCUAGACCUUCCUGGGAAGGCCGCGAACGGCCCCCCCACCCCAUGCAGGCUGCCUGUGAGAGAGGCUGUCAGCAGGGAGGCGUGAGCUCAGGAUUCACAAAAAACGCUGUAACAACAAGAAAAAAAUGUUUGGCAGUCUCCGAGAUUGCGUCAUGUUUGAGCUCGGGGGCCUGCCUGUCAGACACCCGGAGCUUCUGCCUCGUCCUCGGGUUCAAGCCCCCGUUAUCUCUGUCCCUGUGAGCUCCCCAGGAGCGCUGGCCACAGCACCUACUGCUCUCCUGCGGUGAGCCCAGGCAAGUCACGGAAACGCAGAUCCCUUAGGUUGCAACAGACCUCUGAGAUCAUCGAAUCCAACCUGUGACCGAUCGCCACCCUGUCAGCUAAGUGCCAUCCAGCCUUUCCUUAAACACCUCCAGGGAUGGUGACUCCACCACCUCCCUGGGCAGCCCAUUCUAACAGCUAAUCACCCUUUCUCUGAAGAAUUUCUUCCUAAUGUCCAAUCUGAAAUCCACUCAGUUUCAGCCAUGUGACUCUCUCAAGCAAAACCAUUACCUAUCUCUUAAAUUAAAGAUAUUUUAUGAUUUCAAAACAAAGAUAAAGUGAGCUCACUCAGCUGUUUGUAUGCUUUAACCUUUGCUGUAUUGCACAGAACCAGAGAGCUGAUGGGAGAGCUGCAACUGGGAUGUAGUGUUUGAUGUUCUGGCCUAGCAAGGCUCUUUCAAACAAGUUUUACUGGCUGUUGCAUAGAAAAAAGGUUCUUAAGAACACCCUGCACGCUGAAGGCACCUUCAAAUUUGGGCAUCACCAAAGGUUUGAUUAUGGGAAAUGCUGCCCUGUGCCAAAAUUCCUAUACCAGUUUCAAGGGUGAACUACAAGUUCAGAAAUCCAAUUCCACACCUCAAAAUAUUGAAUGAUACUACAUAAAAUGGUGUUGUUGCAAGUCAGAGUUACAAUUUUAGUGAUAAUAAAAGUUUUCUGCACAAUUCCAUUCCUCUUCACAAGCCAUAAUGGAUGAAAUAGAUGUAAUCUGAUACUUUGAUCAUCAAGAGAAUUAUUAAAUAAAUUGUACUAGGAUAUUCUUCAUUGUGAUGCUUUGGCCAGGGUCAUAGUUUGACAUUCCUAGGGUCAAGGUGAAUUUACACUGAUAGUUAUAAAGUUGCCUACAAUAUUUUUACUUCUAAUCUAUGCAGAUCCAACAUGGAUAUGGGUAAGAUAAAAUAACAAUAUAAUAUAACAGUAUAACAAUAUACAAUAUAAUAUAACAGUAACAAUAAAAUAUAGAAUCACAGAUUGUAAUUCGUAUUGCCACUUUCCAGAACUGCAACCACACGUUAACCACAGUAUCCUUCCUGUUAUUUGUGAAAUAUGAAUGUCAAGAAAUAGCCUUUAGAAGUAACACCAACACCAACUCUCCCCCCUCAACAGCUAGAACAGUUUUACCUCCAAGAGAGGAAAAAACCCCAACACUGAAUAUUUUUUCUGCAGCACCAAAAUCCAAUGUUCUUUUCUGGUUCCACAGACACCAAACUAUGCCACACACCUUCUGCCCAGCUGCAGCUACCAAUAAAAGAAGCAAGAUCUACUUUGUUCAGAGAAAACAAGAGGCUUGCCAUGUGGGUUGCACAGCACUGCCACUGUUUAGAUGGUAAAAGAAAAUUACUGUAAUUGUUUAUGACGUCUAUGAAAACCUGCUCAGCCUGAAGUAAAUGACAGAAGUCUCACUUGUUUCAAUAAUUCUAGUUUUGGCUCAUUAAUUAAUACUAGGAGUUCUUCUCCACAAGAAAUUGUACAAAAACAUAUUCUGCCUUAAAGUACUUUUCUUUUUUUCUCUCCAAAAAACGGAUUCGUAUUUUGUUCUGUGUUUUCCUAAAAUGAAGGCGAAAGACAUGUCAUUGUAAAUACAAUUAUUGAAUUAUUUCCUUUUAGUUUCACAAAAAGGAAAUAAUUGUAUUAAAAAUGACAUGUCAUUUCCUUCAUCCAAACCCGAUCAAGAAAACACCCUACUGAAGGGCAGGGGGCUGUGCAUCUGCUUUGCUGGAGUUUCUAUCAGGCCCUUGGAUUAAUCUCAUACACUUGCAAUCACAGCAGUUUGCAAGAAUUUCCCCUGCUUCCCCAACCUCUGCUGAGUGCUGCAGGUGUUCAGGACCAUGCUGGGUCCCCCCAGCCCUGGUCACAGCCCGGUGCCAGGCGGCAGAGCAGGAGCUGUGGCACCCUGGUGUCCCCGGGGCUGGCAGGGCCCAGGAGGGGCUGGCUCCCUCACAGAUGUAGAAAGCAGUCGCUGCUGUCUAAGCACAGAGGCAGCUUCCUUUUCCCACGGUGCUGGGAGGAAACCAGAGAUCCAAACUGUCACAGUCAGGCUCGCUCAUUGUUAUGUGCUUGGACAAGAACAUAUUUAUAAUUCUUCCUGUGAUAUUGUUUUAUCUGUAAGCUAGGAUUUCGCUCUCCUAAUAUUCAGCAACACCAAGUAAGACCUACAGAAAAGUAGUCAGGAUAAUGAAAAAUUGCAGAGCUGCAGGACUGUAAAUCUGGGGUGCAGGUUCAGGUAAAGAUGGGGAGACAAGAGAAAACACAUCAAAUUUACCAAGAUUUAAAAUAUUCUGACUGAAGGACUGUAUUUCCACCAGGAAGAACUCUGACCAAUGAAACAACACAACUGAGCUUACUGGUGAUAAGACUGUUAAAAACUCUGAGGAGGAAAGGCCUUAGGAAGCAGAUGGUCUUUUGCAGCUGUGUUCCCUGUUCUCCCAGCCAGGCAGAGGCAAGGCUGCCCCAGCACGGUCAUGGGGCAAGGACGAGGAGGACGGUGGCACAGGAGCCAGGGUCUGUGGCUGGGAGCUGCCCAGGAUGAGGGUCAGAUACAGCAGGGGACGUGUAUCUUGCCCUUGGGUAGGGAGCUCUGAACAGCACAGACACAAACAGCACGUGGGGGCUGCCCUUUGCUUCAGUGAGACACAGAGAGGAGAAAUGCAGCUGAUAGGAGGCUCAGGAGUGUCCUGCUCUGGCUCAGACUGAUGCAGACACAAACAUGUUGAUAUCACUGCACGUAAGAGAAAUUAAAUGUGUCCUUGUUAGCAGCAUCUUCUUUAAACAACACACUCCUUUAUUUUUAAUUAACUGGAAUAAGGGAAACUAUUUUCAUGCUACCAAGAGAGUAUUCCAAUCAGUGGAAAAUAAGAUGAGCAAAGAAUGAAGAACACUCAAAUGAACUAUGAAACAAUAGCUUGAGUUUCAUUUCUUUUCAGAAAAUCCAAUGUUCAGGCACUUUAAAAAGAUUUCUCAGGGUAGGUUCACUGUUAUCCAAGAGUUUUUCAGCGCUGAUGCAAUAUAACUGUUAUCAUUGUUAGGACUCAGGGGACUGUUCUUUUUGACAGGGCCUUUCAUGAAGUCAACAAAUCAGUUUAAAACAAGCCAUAAAUUAUAUUUGGCUGCCUGUCAGCUUGGCUGGGGUGUUCUCCCAGUGCUGCUGUAAGCGUUGGGGAAAGAAUACAACAACACGUCCAGAUAUUUUGCUUUUAGGAGAUAUUUUGUUCCUAAUUUAAAAAGAAAGCAUCUCCCUAGCAUUGACUCUGAUGCAUAAACAUAUGUUAGAACAGCCAUCAAGAUUUUUACAGACUUCCCUACAAAUAAAUGCACCCGUUCUGGAUCCUAAGUGAUAGCUUAAUAAAUAAUGGACUCAGUACAGAUCUCCCCAACGAGUGCCUGCCACUCAUUGCUAAACUAGGGAACUGUCAGCAAGAUCAUCACCCCACUCUUGCUCCUGUAUGUGGAGAGAGAGGUGGGUCCUGAUAGAUGGGAUCCAAUCCUCCUAUAGCUCUCCAGAUAUUAUUAACAUCCUGAAUUGCAGCCAGAACUCACAGAAAAGACAAUAGUGUCUACUUACAGUCUGCUGAGUUAGCAGCUACAGCUUUAGCCAGUGCAGCCAAACAAGAAAUCACACACAGACAUCAUUACCUUUGGAAGUGUCCAGUUCCUUGUUUUAUAUAGAUUUUCCCAUCAGUGUCCAAUCCUGGCUGCUGCUGCAGAGUGGCAUUAACACACCCCAUAAGUCCCCUUGGAGUCAGGGCAGGGAAGGUGGCUGUGGGAAGGCCACACUUACAGGGAAGCAGGCACAUAUUCAUAAGGAAAAACAAUGGAACCUCUGGAGACUUCAGAAGCAAUCUGAACACAGAAGUACCUUCCUCAGUCAUGGACAUGUUUCCUUGGGAUUAGGGAAAGGCACCCUCUCCUUCAGAGCCUUUUUACAAACUACCAGCAGCACUUUCAUCUUGUCUGAAUUAUUGUUGGGUUUUGCUCCUUUUCCGGGGCUUGGUAUUACAGGAUAUUGGGAAAACAGAUUCUACAAAGGAGGGACAGAGGGACACCAAGCCUUGACUGAAAUCCCAGAGAAGUCCUUUAUGGGGUAAAGACUGUUUCUUUCUGUUCUUUCUGACAGGAUGGAAAAGCCCUAUUCGCAAUGGUCAGCCUGUCCUGACAAGAUAUGACAGUAGCAAAAGCUCCUGUGGCAUCACAUACCAGACAAGGCUCUCGUGCUCCCAAUUCUACCAAAAGCCUUAAGGAUAAGAUGUGUGGCUGGGCUGGGAGCUCACACCCACCAACAGUGACCACAGCAGCUCUCAGAAGUGCAUGAAGACGUGGAAGGAGCCCUAAUGUGAUAGGAUGGAAGUGAUGGCAAUGCCAGCCCAUUUAAGUUCAGCUCCAAGAAUCAGCUUGUGGUCAUUGGGACCAUGUUAUUCUUUCAGUAGGAUGUUCUGUAUGAGCCCUUGGAAGUGAGAGCGAUAAAAUGGCUCAGAUCACUUUUUGCCUUUACAGCAAACCUUUCAUCAGAGGAACCUCAAAGCAACUUGCCAGCAAGAACGGGCACAACCUCACACUGUGCCUGUGAGAUAAGCGAAGGAUGGAAUAGAUUAACUGCUUAAAAGCACACAGCAGCUCUGUGGGAUGAAGGAAAAAUAAGAAAAAAACCUUAUAUAUAUACAUACACGUUUGAAACCAUACAGGGUUUUAUGGAGAGGCAGCCUGGAAGGCUGCCAGGAUACUGAAAUUGCCACCCCUACACAACCACGAAUACCAUGGAAACCAGUGGGGCACUGGCAGGCAGGAAAGGAAAUCAGCUGAAAAAUGGCUUUCCAUGAAAUGCAGCCAGGCUGGGACACUGCUCCCCUCCUGGCUGAGGGAGGCCUACGUGCCGAACCACCAGUGCUGCUGCCGGUGGGAGCUGGCCUCCAGGAGGGAGCCAUUCCCAGUCAUUUCCCAGCCUGGGGUGGCGCUUUCCUGGCGGCGGCCAGUGGAUGACAGCAAAAAGAGGGAUGGAUGAAAACUGCUACAUCAUGUCAGCUGUGGUGUGGAGGUAAUGGAAACCCUGAGUGCCUAGUAAAGCUUCAACACAUGCUGGGAGGUAUAGGAAGAUCAAAGUCAGUUGACAUCUGAAUGAGGACAGGGAAGGAACAAGUUUGUGCAAGCUCCUGCCUGCCCUGUCUGGUGAGGCACGAUUGAAAAGCACAAAACACUCAUCAGUUUUCCCUCAAAAUACUAAGAAAGCACAAAGAAGGAUUCCUUUAACCUGAGCGAAAGUAAGUAAAGGAGAGAGGCCUGGAAAACGAAGCCAAAAUUAACAAAUGAAACUGAAUAUAACAGGAAUAACAGCAAUAAACAAACCCAGACAAGCAGUGGAGGAGGAAUGAACACACUGUUAAUCUGUCAAGUACACCGUGCCCACAUCAAACUACAGAGUGAGCCCAGAGAAAUACCCAGCCUCCUAGCUGAGCAAGGGCACCUGCUUGUUACCAAACAGCACACAUCCCUUAAAAAGUCAUACUCCUGGUAAGCCAGGGGAGGAGGAAUUCAAGCACAGAACAGCUGUACUCAUUCAAAAUACUGCUAAGAGGAACAGCGGCAUCUUAUGAGUAAGCUGGAUACGGCGCAACCAGCACCAGGCUUGAGCAAAAAUAGCCCAGUGGAGAUGAGAGGCAAGUAGAGACAUCAGCACACAGCUCUCCUUCUGGCUCUCUGCAACUGAAGGGUGCAGAGGUGAUCUCCUACAGAGCCUAGAUUGAAUAGAGGCAGGGGGACAUUUCUACAGAAAAGCAAAGAGGGCUGGAAAACCAGAGAAGGAGCAGAGCAGCAUUUCUGCUGCUCUAAAAUGCACAGAGCUAACAGACCUUCCAGUGGCCACAGGGGAGGGCUGGAAGGGGAUGGGAGCAUUGCCAUGGCUGGCCCUGAUAAGGCUCUAUCUAGGAACAGGAGAGGGCUGUGCAGCCGAGAAACGGGUCUGGAGGAGUGCGAGAACAACAGGAUAACAUCAGGCACUUCUGACACAGCUGAAGGACCGCCACUGGUCAUCAGGAGACAAGUGAAGAUGGGAGACUUUAAAGUGCUGCCAGGAAAAACAAGCUACAGCCAGGGUCGAGGAACAUGGGAUCCAACUCCUAGUUGUCAGCAAUUGUGGUGUAUACAUUGCUGAAAACAGAUGCAGUGCCAGGAAAAUCCAACUCCCAGCAUGAAAAGAAUAACUUAGGAAUGAUAAUGAGAGAAGCCAAAGCAACUGCGACUGUGAAUUAGUGAUUACAUGAAAGUUUUUAUCUUAAAGUUAUGUUAGGCCAAAUCCUGAAGUAAUUUUUUCAUCCAAGAGUACUCCCUCGAGAACCCUGUGAUUUGGCCACAAAUUGCUACAUUAGAAAAAAACCCAAACCAAACAAACAGCCCCCCCCGCCCCCUCUGAAAAAAAAAGAAAAAAAAAGGCAUAACAAAACUAAGAUUUCUUUUUUAUGCUGGCUGGACAUACAUAGCAGGCAAUACUCUGACUGGCAUUAAACACUUCUCCAGCAGGUAGCUGAAGUCCUCUGCUUCAUGGCACCAUCCAGCAUCACCGUGAGGGACAGGCCAGUCAUCAGGAUUUGCUCCCUUAUGUGGCUGCUACCCAGGGAAGUGGGAACUGUGGCUGUUUGUUAUGAAGACAAGUACAUGUUAUUCAAGCUCCCUGAAACAAGUCAGGUACAAUCCUCAUCACAGUUCCUCCCACUUGGACCUAUCAAAGCUACUCCUGAAAAACUGAACAUACAGAAGCCUGGGUACUGCCAUAAGGAAAUGUAGCAAUCAUCACUGCCCACCAUGUGCUGAACAGCAAUAAAAAUGUCUUUUAAAAA